rnacentral:rRNA from 1 species
GAUGAACGCUGGCGGCGUGCCUAAUACAUGCAAGUCGAACGAACGGACGAUAAGCUUGCUUCUCUGAUGUUAGCGGCGGGCGGGUGAGUCACACGUGGAUAACCUACCUAUAAUACUGGUAUAACUUCGGGAAACCGUAUCUAAUAGCGUAUAAGAUUUUGAACCGCAUUGGUCGAAGGUAAGAUACGGUCUUUCUGGCACGUAUAGAGGGAUCCGCGCUGCAUUAGCUAGUUGUUAAGGUAACGGCUUACCAAGGCAACUAUGCAUAACCGACGUGAGAGGGUGAUAGCCGACCUUGGAACUGAGACACGGUCCAGAGUACUAAGGGAGGCAGCAGUAGCGAAUCUUAGGCAAUGGGCGAAAGUAUGACGGAGCAACGCCGAGUGAGUGACGAAGGCCUUCCGAUCGUAAAACUGUGUUAUUAGGGAAGAACAUAUGUGUAAGUAAAUGUGCACAUAUUGACGGUAAUUAAUAAGAAAGCACCGGCUAACUACGUG